UACGUAGGGGGCAAGCGUUGUCCGGAUUUAUUGGGCGUAAAGAGCUCGUAGGCGGUUUGUCGCGUCGGCCGUGAAAUCUCCACGCUUAACGUGGAGCGUGCGGUCGAUACGGGCAGACUUGAGUUCGGUAGGGGAGACUGGAAUUCCUGGUGUAGCGGUGAAAUGCGCAGAUAUCAGGAGGAACACCGGUGGCGAAGGCGGGCUCUGGGCCGAUACUGACGCUGAGGACGAAAGCGUGGGGGAGCAA
rnacentral:rRNA from 1 species